AAGUAGGGGAUCGCAAGACCUUGCGCUUUUGGAGCGGCCGAUGUCUGAUUAGCUAGUUGGUGAGGUAAAGGCUUACCAAGGCUUCGAUCAGUAGCUGGUCUGAGAGGACGACCAGCCACACUGGGACUGAGACACGGCCCAGACUCCUACGGGAGGCAGCAGUGGGGAAUUUUGGACAAUGGGGGAAACCCUGAUCCAGCCAUGCCGCGUGAGUGAAGAAGGCCUUCGGGUUGUAAAGCUCUUUCAGCCGGAACGAAAAGGUUACGGUUAAUACCCGUGACUAAU
rnacentral:rRNA from 1 species